rnacentral:rRNA from 1 species
GACAGAGGGGGCAAGCGUUGCUCGGAAUCACUGGGCGUAAAGGGUGCGUAGGCGGGUCUUUUAAGUCAGGGGUGAAAUCCUGGAGCUCAACUCCAGAACUGCCUUUGAUACUGAAGAUCUUGAGUUCGGGAGAGGUGAGUGGAACUGCGAGUGUAGAGGUGAAAUUCGUAGAUAUUCGCAAGAACACCAGUGGCGAAGGCGGCUCACUGGCCCGAUACUGACGCUGAGGCACGAAAGCGUGGGGAGCAAACAGG